UGCCACUGAGCUAGCGGCAACAGCCGCCAUGGCGAAGAACAACUCUCUCCGGCCACUGUUGUUGCUCUCUUUCUUGUAGCUCAUUACAACAUUUUCUCCCUCAAAUGGCACCUUUGAGCUUGCCUUCGCCAUGACAACCCCGCGGCGGUUCGCGGCCGGGACUUUGGUCAAGGCCGCGACGGAGCCGCCUGCCAAGGAGGUUGUCAUUGUCAUUGAAGCCAUUUGAUCAACUCAAAAAUUUUCCUAGUUUGAUUGCUUAUUACUUGCUUUCAGUUUUGUGCAAAGGAAUGGUUUGGCUUUGGUGUUAGUUAAAAAUAUGUAUACAUGUAAGAAACAAA
rnacentral:lncRNA from 1 species